rnacentral:rRNA from 1 species
AAGUCUGGUGCCAGCAGCCGCGGUAAUUCCAGCUCCAAUAGCGUAUAUUAAAGUUGUUGCAGUUAAAAAGCUCGUAGUUGAAUUUCGGGGUUAGUAGGUUGGUCAUGCCUCUGGUAUGUACUGAUCUCACUGAUUCCUCCUUCCUUAUGAACCGUAAUGCCAUUAAUUUGGUGUUGCGGGGAAUUUGGACUGUUACUUUGAAAAAAUUAGAGUGUUUAAAGCAGGCUAACGCUUGAAUACAUUAGCAUGGAAUAAUGAAAUAGGACGUUCGAUCUUAUUUUGUUGGUUUCUAGGAUUGACGUAAUGAUUAAUAGGGAUAGUUGGGGGCAUUAGUAUUCAAUUGUCAGAGGUGAAAUUCUUGGAUUUAUUGAAGACUAACUACUGCGAAAGCAUUUGCCAAGGAUGUUUUCAUUAAUCAAGAACGGAAGUUAGGGGAUCGAAGACGAUCAGAUACCGUCGUAGUCUUAACCAUAAACUAUGCCGACUAGGGAUCGGAUGAUGUUAAUUUUUUAAUGACUCAUUCGGCGCCUUACGGGAAACCAAAGUGUUUGGGU